AAAAGUCUUGGUGGCCACAUAGACUUUUCUAGGGUUUCGAUUUGGUAUUCUGAGAUUCGAAGCUGCCGCAAUGGAGUAUCGAGAUGUAUGGCGGCUACUUGGAGGCCAUCGGCCGGCGUCUCCGCUUUGCCAUUCUCGCCGCCGGUGACUAAAACAACCUCUGCCGCUGCAAAACCCUAGACGAGAUCGCCAUGCAACUCUCUGCUUCGCUGCCGAUUACGGCCUCUACCUUCCAAAUGGAACUUUGUGGAGCAACUGCAGAAAUGGUGUGCGACCUCCUUGCAUUUGAAGCUGAAUCAGUGAUAGGGGAGCUGUCAAUAUUACCAUAAUCAACCAUAAACAGAUGAUGCAUAUAAAUAAAAAUCAGAUAUUAUUUUGACAUGAUGCUAUGCGUUGUUUAUUUCCGUUGUUGCACUUCUUCUUUUGCUUCAGCCACGUUUUGGUCUGGUAAUGAUUUAUUUCGAUAAGGUGACAUUUGUUUCUGCAAUUACAUGGCUUUCUUUCACAGUUUGGAACUGAGCUAACUCAAGAUGAUUGCUGGAAACUUUGUUCUAACUUUGGUUCACUGUAUAGGGUCAUGAAGGACUUACUAUUCGUGAGGGCAUUGAUCAGGUAUAUUUCUGAUUUGAUGUGAAUCUAGAAGUUCCGUGUUUAUUCACUGUGUAUUAUGUUAACUGAUAACAGAUAAUUUGUGAAAUUGCAUAACAUGUUAUUUCAUCAAGGAAUUUGUCAAAACAGUUUCCAUUGCAGAAUACAUGAUUUUUAUCCUGGAUCUCCAACCUUCUUUUUUUAUAAAUCAAACACUUAUUGUUGUUAUUAUAAUUUUUAAUGUCUUUUUCUUUUGGCCAAGUUAAUUUGGACAAACUUUCUUUGAAAGCUAAAAAAGGUCACAAGGUUUAGAGUUGGCCAGAAAUGAUGUAGAGUGAUGUAUUGCUGCGCUUAUUUGAUUUUACUUUAUCUUAAGUUUGUGCCAUCUCUUUGAAAUGUUGCACUAAUCUUUGUUGUUUGAAUUGUAGUAGAGCCUUCUUCCAAGUUAGGCAAUUGUAUGCAAUGGCUAUUUUAUGAGUUUCGUGUUGCUAUUAAAAUCUCAAAGUCUUUAUUUUUUGGCUUAAACUGUUAAAUAAGUUAAGCAUGCCCAUGGCCGAGCGCUCCUCCCUUGAGAAAUGGGGAAGCGUGGUAUUCCACGAGAUAAGGUUUUUGUUGUGGCACACAAUGGUGUGAUGGGCUAACAUUAAUUCCUCGGCUUCCUAUGGCCGCUUUGCUGCUGAGCUGCAGUUAGAGUGAGGAUUGGCCAAACAUCAUUUCCUUAAUAUCCUUCUUUAUUUUACACUGUGAUCAUCUGUGAAGUGCUUGAAAUUGUUAUUUAUAUAAAGAUUCUUCAUCAUAGAUGACUGCAGGUCCAUUCUACAAGAGAAAAAUACCCCUACUUGCCAGUUGAUUUGGGAGGUUAAUUGUAUUGUAUGAUUGUUAUACAUAUAUAUGAUUGAUUCUUUUGAAAUUGAAGAAGCAGGAAAUAAGGAACCUAAUGUGGUGUAUCUUGUAAAUUUUCUGCCAAAAAUUAGAAAUCCCUGAGUUCACUUUAGUGUCAUCUUCAUUGUUUAAUGCGUAAACUCUAUGGACAUUGUCCUGAUACUGUUGCAGCCAAAAUGAUCUGCAGAUAAAAAGCUUUAAGGUUUUCCUAUGAAAUGUAAAGCUAGGUUUGAAUGAGUUGUAUAUUGUUUUUCUGGUUGAGCUUUGUUGCUGCAUGUUAUGUGGAUU